AUUGAACGCUGGCGGCAUGCCUUACACAUGCAAGUCGAACGGCAGCACGGGAGCAAUCCUGGUGGCGAGUGGCGAACGGGUGAGUAAUAUAUCGGAACGUGCCCGGUCGUGGGGAUAACGUAGCGAAAGCUACGCUAAUACCGCAUACGAUCUACGGAUGAAAGCGGGGGAUCGCAAGACCUCGCGCGAUUGGAGCGGCCGAUAUCAGAUUAGGUAGUUGGUGAGGUAAAGGCUCACCAAGCCGACGAUCUGUAGCUGGUCUGAGAGGACGACCAGCCACACUGGGACUGAGACACGGCCCAGACUCCUACGGGAGGCAGCAGUGGGGAAUUUUGGACAAUGGGCGCAAGCCUGAUCCAGCAAUGCCCGCGU
rnacentral:rRNA from 1 species